GGAGGCUGGGCUGCUGGCCUAACACUUGCACGUCGAGCGGAAACGAUGGAAGCUUGCUUCCAGGCGUCGAGCGGCGGACGGGUGAGUAAUGCAUGGGAAUCUGCCCGAUAGUGGGGGAUAACCUGGGGAAACUCAGGCUAAUACCGCAUACGUCCUACGGGAGAAAGCAGGGGAUCUUCGGACCUUGCGCUAUCGGAUGAGCCCAUGUCGGAUUAGCUUGUUGGUGGGGUAAUGGCCUACCAAGGCGACGAUCCGUAGCUGGUCUGAGAGGAUGAUCAGCCACAUCGGGACUGAGACACGGCCCGAACUCCUACGGGAGGCAGCAGUGGGGAAUAUUGGACAAUGGGCGAAAGCCUGAUCCAGCCAUGCCGCGUGUGUGAAGAAGGCCUUCGGGUUGUAAAGCACUUUCAGUGAGGAAGAACGCCUCUGGCCUAAUACGUCAGAGGGAAGACAUCACUCACAGAAGAAGCACCGGCUAACUCCGUGCCAGCAGCCGCGGUAAUACGGAGGGUGCGAGCGUUAAUCGGAAUUACUGGGCGUAAAGCGCGCGUAGGUGGCUUGAUAAGCCGGUUGUGAAAGCCCCGGGCUCAACCUGGGAAUGGCAUCCGGAACUGUCAGGCUAGAGUGCAGGAGAGGAAGGUAGAAUUCCCGGUGUAGCGGUGAAAUGCGUAGAGAUCGGGAGGAAUACCAGUGGCGA
rnacentral:rRNA from 1 species